GCCACCGGACCCGUGGCAGGCCGCCGGAGGAGCAGCGCCGCCGCCACCGGAUCCGUGGCAGGCCGCCUGAAGCGUUCCGCUUCCAUCAUGGGGUUGGAGGAGGAAUUGUGGCGACCAGGAGGCAGCACACGGAGAGUACACAGGGAACGGAGACAGAGCACGGAGCACGGGAUAAAGGAGAAGACACGGAACGGGAGUUGGGAUCGCACGGGGGGAUUUAUUGUUGUUCGGAUUGUCACCACUGUAAAUAAACACUGUUGCACUGUA